AAAUCUUCAAAUUUGUUUCUUUAUCUUCAAAACAAAACCCAUAAAUUAAAAAGAAUUCUCAAAACUUAUAAGUUUCUUCAAAUCUGCUUAAAGAAUUCUCAAAACUUAUAUGAAAUUCACACCUAGAAUGUCUGAUUAAUCUCUUACAAUCUCAGAUUAUCCUCCUGAAAUCUAUUUCGAUGGAAACCCAAAACCCUAGUUCGAAAAGCUCACUGCUGCAAAAAAUAAAAACCCACCGCGGGGGUUUCUUCUGAUCGUGGGAAGGGCGGGGUCAUGUCAAUUAUAUCCCUGGUUGAAGAUCGAGGGAGCAUGGGUUCCUAGGAAUACCCGAAAAAACCAUAAUUAAGAAGAUUUCAAGCCUCCGGCGGACUGCCGUGUCGGAUGGAUGAAAAAGACCAAACACUAAUCAACAACCUUGUCACCAUCCGCAUUUUCUAGCUACCAUAAACGACGGCGCGUCAACUAAAUAUAUAUUUCGUACAUAUAUCUAAUGAAUGAAAGGGUAUAUAAACCGCAUAAAGUGGAUGUAACAGAUGCUGUUUGGAGCGUCUUUAUUGUUCAAGGUUUGUAGUUUUCGAAUAAUUUGAUGCCCAAGGGUUUUUUAUUUUUAAUGUUAUUUAGUGGGUAUAUCAUGGUUAGAUAUACGUAUAUAUAUUAGUAGUGUUUAAUAUCAUUUUCUUUUGGUGAUUGAUUAUUGGGGAAGAUGUUGGAAUUGAACUUGUGUAGAUCUAGAAAAAGAUGACAAAAAAUAAAAGUUUGACUGAUUUAUGGGUUUUGAGAAUUCUUUUUAAGUUAUGGGUUUUGUUUUGAAGAUAAAGAAGCAGAUUCAAAUCUAGGUAGGAGAGAGAAGUAGAUUUGAAGAUUUAGGUAGGAGAGAGAAACAGGUAUGAAGAUAUUGGUGAACCAUGUACAAGAGAAAAAAGUUUGCGGGAGAAACUCAUGGAUAAAAAAGUAUCAUAGGCAACCGUGUACAAAUGGAAAACUACGUUAGUCUUCCCCUUCGUCACUAGUCAUUCACUCUCGACCUACCAAUCUGAGAUCAGAUCUGUUGCAUCAUUAGCUAACCACUCCGAGAGAAGACUUAAGAAGUGCAAAUACUUGUCCGUCUUUAAAUAAUCGGAGGAGGAGGACGUGGAUUGAGGUAGAAUUGGGCGACACCAAUCCGGGUAGUAGGAGGCGGUCGUUGUUCGAGCGAGAAUAAGUGAUUGAUUAGAUACCGGCGAACAAGAAGAAGAAGAACGAGGCUGACAAUGAAGAUGAACAUGUGAAGGAGGUUGAAGCUAAAUGGAUCGGAUGGGCGGGUGUAAAUGUGCCAGAUGAGCCUGGGCAGAGGGCGUUGACCAAAGCAUUGGCAGAAAAGGUAUUGUUUUUUAUAUCCUUCAGGAUUAAAAACUGGAAUUAAGGGUAUUGGUUAGGAUUAGUUAAUAUCGUUGCAGAGGUGUUUUCUUGAUGAAGAAAUUGUGCAUCAAUAUUAUUAAGGCUGUUGUAACAACAUAUCAUGGCCCCUUUUCCAUCAUGUUGGUCGUCCACAAGAAGACCGUUUGGCAACAACUAGAAGUUUCCAAUCUCAAUUCGCAGCAUAUAAGAAAGCAAAUCAAAUGUUUGCUGAUAAGGUGAACGAGCAUUAUGAAGAAGGUGAUGCUGAAUGAUCACAACAGCAACAUGAAAGUUGGUUGGUUUCUUCAUACACCCUUCCCGUCUUCUGAAAUCCAUAGGACAUUGCCUUCUUGUUCUGAGCUUCUACGAGCGGUUUUUGCUGCUGAUUUGGUUUGGCUUCCAUACAUAUAGCUAUGCAAGGCACUUUUUUAGUGCUUGUACCCAUAUCCUUGGACUCGAAGGUACUCCUAAAGGGGUUGAGGAUCAAGGGAGAUUGACUCAAGUUGCUGCGUGAGUUAAAUGAUACUGUAGUUGAAGCGUAACAAAGUAUAAGACCAGUUCCACCAUCACUUCCUGUUGAAGAGACUAUAGAGCGUUAUUUGCAGUCAAGUAACCGAUUAAUCAUACUGAACUUUGGAGAGUUGAACAUGUGGCUGGCUGCUGAAAUGGAAUGUUUCUACGGUCCAUUAAACGAACCUGGAUGACAACUAUGCCCGAGCAUUCAAACAUGGAGUGGGUCGAUAGCGUGAAGCAUGUCUUUGAGUAUUUCAGUGAAAGAACACCUCGAUCACAUUUUGAGCUUCGUGAAACUUCAUUGGUAUGGAAUUACAAAUAUGCAGAUGUUAAAUUCGGGAGGCUUCAAGCCAGAGUCAUGCUGCAGCAUAUGUGGACAGGCCCGAUGUCUAAUGUGUUUGUAGAUGUAGUACAAGGUAGCCGCUCUGUUGAGGUUUAAGUGGCUGGUGUAACUAUGGUGAAUCUGCCACUUUGUCAUGACCAUAUGGCUAUGAGUUUAUAUACAUUAUAAAGAUUAGUAAUAUCAGGAUCCACAUUGACUUAUAGAGGCGACAAAAUGGGCAGGUUGGGUAAUGGAUCAAAGUAGGCAGUUUUUGGUAUAGAAUGGCUCAUGGUUACCACAAACAUUGUUUUUUGUUCAAUCUUUCUGAAGUUUUGGUAUGUGGUGUCAGGUUUGAUUAUGAUUUCAAUAACAAUCUAAUUUUCUAAA